UGGACAGAUUAUUGUAUUCGACUGUAAUCACGGCGUGAAACAGGGGAUUACACUGUUUUUAAAUGGAAAGUGAAUCAAUUAACAUAAUAGACUCCU
rfam:Nicotiana attenuata strain TT chromosome 1, whole genome shotgun sequence.